UGAGGAAUCUUGCGCAAUGGGGGAAACCCUGACGCAGCCACGCCGCGUGGGUGAAGAAGGCCUUCGGGUCGUAAAGCCCUGUCAGGUGGGAAGAACCGCAAGGGAGUGAAUAACUUCUUUGCCUGACGGUACCACCAAAGGAAGCACCGGCUAACUCCGUGCCAGCAGCCGCGGUAAUACGGAGGGUGCAAGCGUUGUUCGGAAUUACUGGGCGUAAAGCGCGUGUAGGCGGCCAAGUAAGUCGAAUGUGAAAUCCCUCGGCUCAACUGAGGAAGUGCAUCCGAUACUGCUUGGCUUGAGUCCCGGAGAGGGAUGUGGAAUUCCCGGUGUAGAGGUGAAAUUCGUAGAUAUCGGGAGGAACAUCAGUGGCGAAGGCGACAUCCUGGACGGUGACUGACGCUAAGACGCGAAAGCGUGGGUAGCAAACA
rnacentral:rRNA from 1 species